rnacentral:rRNA from 1 species
UUAGGAAUAUUGGACAAUGGGCGCAAGCCUGAUCCAGCCAUGCCGCGUGAGUGAUGAAGGCCUUCGGGUUGUAAAACUCUUUAGCCGAUGAUUAUAAUGACUGUAGUCGGAAAAUAAGCCCCGGCUAACUUCGUGCCAGCAGCCGCGGUAAUACGAAGGGGGCGAGCGUUAUUCGGAAUCACUGGGCGUAAAGCGUGCGUAGGCGGUUUAGUAAGUUAGGAGUGAAAGCCCAGGGCUUAACCUUGGAAUUGCUCUUAAAACUACUAGACUUGAAUCUCGGAGAGGAUAGCGGAAUUUCCAGUGUAGCAGUGAAAUGCGUAGAUAUUGGAAGGAACACCAGUGGCGUAAGCGGCUAUCUGGACGAGUAUUGACGCUGAGGCACGAAAAGCGUGGGGAUCAAACAGGAUUAGAUACCCUGGUAGUCCACGCCGUAAACGAUGUGUGCUUGUCGCUGGGGAGUUCACUCUUCGGUGACGCAGCUAACGCGUUAAGCACACCGCCUGGGGAAGUACGGCCGCAAGGUUAAAAACUCAAAGGAAUUGACGGGGUCAUAGCUGUUUCCUG